CUUGAGGACAAAAUUGACUUUCCUCAGGACCGAAAAGUCCCGGGGAUUUUGGUUUCUUUAUGGCUGGGAGUCAGGAAAGACCCUUCCUGCCCAGUGGCGAGGACAUGUGGCCUCUCCUUCUCUGCUUUCCUGGGGAAGGAAAUGGCAGGCAGCACCUCGCUUUACUCCAUGUCCAGCCCAACAGCCCUUCCUAUGUUGGAAAACUUGUAGAAUCCAUCUGGGGAAGAAAAGGUGCUGUGGUUCCAAUUGCAACGACAUCCUCUGUUCACUGCUGCCCAGGCCCUGUGGCACCAGGGCGGGCGUGGUGUUGAGAGCCCAUUUGGCCAGGGUUGAAUUAGCAGAAUGCAUUGAGAAAUGGAACUCAAGCCCAGUGCGAUCUUCUGGGAAAUGCUGACACCAGGUAGGCCAGAAGCCCACAUCAAGUCCACACAGUGCCCGCUGCCGACCGCAGUCAGGGAGAGAGCCACGUGCUCCAAACUGGGUGAAGAUGGGGUCUGGAGAGGGCAGAUUAGGAACAAAUGAAGGGGGCUCAGGAGCUUCUGUGGCUGCUUUGAGGAUUCCAGACCAGUGUCAUGGGCAGGGGGUGCAAAGCCUUCCUUGUGUUAGGACACAAGGUCCUGGCAAGUGAGGGCCU
rnacentral:lncRNA from 1 species